UACGUAGGGGGCGAGCGUUAUCCGGAUUCACUGGGUGUAAAGGGAGCGUAGACGGCCAUGCAAGCCAGGGGUGAAAGCCCGGGGCCCAACCCCGGGACUGCCCUUGGAACUGUGCGGCUAGAGUGCGGGAGGGGCAGGCGGAAUUCCUGGUGUAGCGGUGAAAUGCAUAGAUAUCACGCAGAACCCCGAUUGCGAAGGCAGCCUUCCGGCGCCCUACUGACGCUGAGGCACGAAAGUGCGGGGAUCGAACAGG
rnacentral:rRNA from 1 species